AGGGUAUAUCAGCAACAAGAGGGGGAUCAGGGAAAGUGUGAGUCCCUUACUGAAUGGGGGAGGCAACCUGGUGACAGAUGAGGAGGAAAAGCCUGAAGUACUCAAUGCCUUUUUCACUUCAGUCUUCAUAAAGAAGGUCAGCUCCCAGACUACUGCACCUGGCAGCACAGUCUGGGGAGGAGGUGAGCAGUCAACAGUGAUGAAAGAAAAGGACAGGGACUAUUUAGAAAAGCUGGAUGUGUACAAGUCCACGGGGCCAGAUGCAAUGCACCCAAGGCUGCUGAGGGAGUUGGUCAAUGUGACUGCAGAGCUGCUGGCCACUAUCUUUGAAAACUCAGGGCAAUUGGGAGAGGUCCUGGAUGACUAGAAAAGGACAAAUAUAGCGCCCGUCUUUAAGAAAGGGAAGGAGGAUCCAGGGAACUACAGACCAGUCAACUUCACUUCAGCCCCUGGAAAAAUCAUGGGGCAGAUCUUCAAAAAAUCCAUUUCUAAACACUUGGAGGGGAAGAAGGUGAUUAGGAACAGUCAGCAUGGAUUCACCAGGGGCAAGUCAUGCCUGACCAACACGAUUGCCUUAUAUCACGAUGAAGUACCUUGAUGAGGUGACUGGUUCUGUGGAUCCAGGGAUCACAGUGGAUGUGAUAUAACUUGACUUUAGCAAGGCUUUUGAUACAGUUUCCCACAACAUUCUUGCAAGCUAUCUACGGAAGUGUGGGUUGGAUGAAUGGACUGUAAGAUGGAUACAAAACUGGCUGGAUCAUCAGGCUCAAAGGGUAGUUAAUCAAUGGCUCGAUGUCUAGUUGGCAGCUGGUAUCAAGUGGAGUGCCCCAGGGGUCAGUCCUGGGGCCACUUUUGUUCAGUAUCUUCAUCAAUGACCUGGAAGAUGAGAUGGAGAGAGCACCCUCAGCAAGUCUACAGAUGAUACCAAGCUAGGGGAACAGUAGAAAUGCUGGAGGAGGAGACAUCGGGGGAUUCCACUGCCCAUCGUCAUGACCCAUAUCACUUACGGCUACAGACACAUCUUUGAGGUCUGAACCUGGAAGAGUGCAGGGCAGCUAGCUAAUCCUCUCUAAUGACUGAGCUAGGCUGCCAGUUAGCAGGGGCAAGGGUUUGGUUUCUGUUUAAUGUCUAAGAGUUGUCAGCUGUGUCAUGCUCUACAUAAGUGGAGCACAGACAGGAAGUUGGGAUUUACAUCAGUACCUGGCUUACGCCAUUUUUCAAGCUGGAAUAAACUUCACUGGUUCAAAAAGC